UGGGUNUUAGUUUAUCAGAUGUAUACCUGC
rnacentral:piRNA from 1 species